AUCUUUAAGGGGAAGCUUCUUCACAUAUUGAAAUCCACUCCGCACAUGUCAGCCCAAACAGGUUCUGGAUGUGAACCAGAGGGACUCAGAGCCAUCCCUGUCCCCAGAUGCCUGCACACCUCCUGGGGGAGCACAACCAGUGGGGCUGGAAGUCCUGGAGAACAGAUCCCUACCCUCAUCCUGUUUUCUGGAGUCCAAGUAACCAUUUACAUUUGCAAGGGGAGAAUAACAAAUGGUGUGGGGAUGCAAUGUGCCUGUUUGCUUGGCUUUUGGUGGAGCCUUUCCUUGUGCUCAGACAAACACAAUGGGAAAGGCGUCAGGGAGCAGCUUUACUUACAUUCUGAUCCAGAAGAGAUGUCUGUAAUUAAGUACACAUAUACAUGUAUCAUGUAGGUUUGACUCUGAUAUGAGUAUACAUAGCCAAUACAUUAGGGGACUUUUCUAGACCAAAAGACAGUAUUUGUUUUAAAAUCCUUUAUGAAAUGUAUUAAUGCUGACCAUUAUAGAGCACUCUGCUGCAGAGUGAUCAAUGGCCUUCACACCACAGCUAGUUACAGCAAAUGGAUCAUACAAAAUCCAGGGCACUUAACAGCCCAGUAUUGGUCUCUGCAAUUUAUAUAAAUCAGAAUGCCCUCUGCAUUUCCUGAAUGACAAGACCACAAGUACAGACAGAAAUUACAAUUUAUUAUUCAAGCAAUUGUUUUUUUCUUAAAUGAAGUAUUUGCAAUUGAUUUUCAUCUUUCUGUA